AUUGAACGCUGGCGGCAGGCCUAACACAUGCAAGUCGAGCGGAGCGGCGGACGGGCGAGUAAUGCCCAGGAAUCUGCCUGGUCGUGGGGGAUGACGUCCGGAAAUGGGCGCUAAUACCGCACACUUUCAGCUGCGCCUAGGUCGGAUUAGCUAGGUGGUGGGGUAAAGGCCUACCAAGGCGACGAUCCGUAACUGGUCUGAGAGGAUGAUCAGCCACACUGGAACUGAGACACGGUCCAGACUCCUACGGGAGGCAGCAGUGGGGAAUAUUGCACAAUGGGCGAAAGCCUGAUCCAGCCAUGCCGCGUGAGUGAAGAAGGUCUUCGGAUUGUAAAGCUCUUUUAGUUGGGAGGCGUUACCAACAGAAUAAGCACCGGCUAACUACGUGCCAGCAGCCGCGGUAAUUC
rnacentral:rRNA from 1 species